rnacentral:rRNA from 1 species
AGCGAACGCUGGCGGCAGGCUUAACACAUGCAAGUCGAACGGGCACUUCGGUGCUAGUGGCAGACGGGUGAGUAACACGUGGGAACGUACCUUUCGGUUCGGAAUAAUCCAGGGAAACUUGGACUAAUACCGGAUACGCCCUUCGGGGGAAAGAUUCAUCGCCGAUAGAUCGGCCCGCGUCUGAUUAGCUAGUUGGUGAGGUAAUGGCUCACCAAGGCGACGAUCAGUAGCUGGUCUGAGAGGAUGAUCAGCCACAUUGGGACUGAGACACGGCCCAAACUCCUACGGGAGGCAGCAGUGGGGAAUAUUGGACAAUGGGCGCAAGCCUGAUCCAGCCAUGCCGCGUGAGUGAUGAAGGCCUUAGGGUUGUAAAGCUCUUUUGUCCGGGAAGAUAAUGACUGUACCGGAAGAAUAAGCCCCGGCUAACUUCGU